rnacentral:tRNA from 1 species
CUGGUGUGUGCGCGGCGGUCCGCGCGGUGCGCCGCUGUCAGCGGCGGCCGGAGGGGGGACGGGCGCGGUCGCCCCGGUCGCCCCGGUCGCCCCGGCC